CAGUCGCCACGGUAAUACGAAGGGUGCAAGCGUUAAUCGGAAUUACUGGGCGUAAAGGGCGCGUAGGUGGUUUGUUAAGUUGGAUGUGAAAUCCCCGGGCUCAACCUGGGAACUGCAUUCAAAACUGACUGACUAGAGUAUGGUAGAGGGUGGUGGAAUUCCCUGUGUAGCGGUGAAAUGCGUAGAUAUAGGAAGGAACACCAGUGGCGAAGGCGACCACCUGGACUAAUACUGACACUGAGGUGCGAAAGCGUGGGGAGCAAACAGGAUUAGAUACCCCCGUAGUCCCUGUCUCUUAUAC
rnacentral:rRNA from 1 species